UACGGAAGGUGCAAGCGUUGUUCGGAAUGACUGGGCGUAAAGCGCACGUAGGCGGGUUUGUAAGUCGGAUGUGAAAGCCCCAGGCUCAACCUGGGAACUGCACCCGAAACUAUAGAUCUUGAAUGCUUGAGAGGUUGGUAGAAUUCCUGGUGUAGGAGUGAAAUCCGUAGAUAUCAGGAGGAAUAUCGGAGGCGAAGGCGGCCAACUGGCGAUGCAUUGACGCUGAGGUGCGAAAGCGUGGGGAGCAAACAGG
rnacentral:rRNA from 1 species